UACCUGUCAGAGCAGCAAUUACAUAACCUGUCACAUAAUAAACCUGGACAAUAUAUAGCAAUACAUUAUCACAGGCACACAACUGAUCUGUAUAAAAUCUGGUUCCCAAUCCAUCCAUGGCCAACCCAUAUCCACAACAGGAUCUAUGUCUAUAACUGUACACUAUAUACAAGUCAAAGGUUUAUAAUACACCAAAAAUAUAUAAACCUCUAUUCUACAUUAUACUAUGGAGCAGCCAGCUAGCAGGCAACCUUUAGUCCUGCACCUCUCUAUACGGCAUCUGCCCU
rnacentral:lncRNA from 1 species